GUUUCUUACCCGUUAUUAUUUGUUGAUCUGACAGAUGAAUUCACUUGACUCGCUACUAAAAGUUUGCCAGGAUCUGCCCAACAAUAAAAGUAAACUGUCAGCCUAUGAGGCAGGAAGAUUCAGCAUGAAAACUCCUAAUGGAAAACUGAUCGCAGAUGUUGGUUGUGAACCAAUUCUCCACAUGAGACACUUCCAGGCAACAAAAAGACUUCCAGAGAAACUAAUUCAUCAAAUCCUUCAUCAUUCCGACAAAAGUACGAGUUACUGAAAGCACGGGUGAUUGUAAAGCAACCAAUGGCUAUCCUGUAUUGAAUGCGAAUUUCAGACUGUUCUUUCUUGGGAUGUGAAGGCCUUCAACGGAAGCUAUCCUCCAAAGAAUUUUUACCGUAGAGAAUGUCUCUGAUAGAGACUGGUUGUGUUGUAUACAAAUGCGUCUUUUUCUUUUAAUUUAUUUCUCUUUUUAGUUUUGAUUUUCAACUAAUUAGUUUUGACUGAAGUUAGAUCUCUGGCAUAUAGAUCAGGCCAGAUAUAUUUGUUUGCUUACAUUUCCUUGUUUCCUUCAGAACUAACUCUGUGAUAAUGAUAAGAGUAGCUUUUUGACAAA